rnacentral:lncRNA from 1 species
AGAAAACAUUAUUGUUUUAUUCAUUUAAAAAUAAUUUUAAAAAUGUAAAUGAUGCACACGCUUACAACAACUCAAACAACAUUGCAGACGGGCUUGUAAUAUAAACAGAGUUGUCAGAAGUUUCCAUCUCUCCCCAGCCCCAGUGCCACAGGUCAGAAUCAAUUCCUUUUUUCUUCCCCCUACUGGGCAUUACCUACAUUAAUAAUUCUGCUUGUCUAGUGGUUAAUUAAUUAAUGUACCUGCAUGGCUAAUUUUAGGCUUAUGAGUUUUAGACAUUUACUUUCUGCUACGACAGCUAAGAAUUUCCUGCCCGCUCUUCCUCGGAAUAUAGUUACAUCCUUAUUUCCACUUCUGUUAAUUGUCUUUUAAAGUCCAGGACUACAUACCCUUUUCUAGUUCCAUCGCGAAGGCGGGAAGUCUCGAUUCCUCACUGGGAAAGGUGAGGACAUGGAUGCCUCCACCCUUCCCUGAAGCACUCCUCUCCUCUUCUGCGGAGGUGGAUUUUUAAAAACAGAUUGGGGUUGGGGUGGGGGAGGGACAGCACGCAGAAUAUUGAUGCAAACGUCAUAUGAAAAAAAAUACAUAUAAUAUAUAUGUAUGUAUACCUGCAAAGUGCUGUUACAUAUACGUGUGUAUAUUAACAGCAUUAUGAAUCCCAGACAAUUGGGGCCGCUUACCGCCGUGGCUGUGACUUUAAAUUCACUCACUUCUUACAUCCACUAGGAAAAGAGGAUUUGUUUCCCUAAAGCCUAUAAAAGGGGAAAGGCUUAGGCGCAGUGGCAGCCCCGUUCCCCGCACCCUCCUGCCCUCGGGUCCCGGGCGGGCUGCGGGAGUUCCUCCUGCGCGGGCGUCUGAGGCGCUAGAGGUCACCGGAGCGCGCUCCCCUCGCCAGGGACCUACACUCUUCCCGCUGCUACAUUAGGCCGCAUUAACAAGGAUCUGGAUUCACUUUAAUUUAAAAGGUAAAAGAUCUUAGGUCUGAUGGGGGAGUGCGGCGAGGAGAGCUCGGACCGCGACGUCGCGCGCCCGCUUCGAGGAGUUUUGAGCUCUUAGCUUGGUGCCGGGGCCCGCCCGGCGCUAGAUGAAGUGCUCGUUUACUCGGCCUAAGCCACGGUGACUCGAAGGCCUGGAGCGCCGUGAGCAGGCCGGAUGCGGGAUACGCCAGUGACUACCAGAGCCAGACCCGGAGCGCGCUGCCGGCGGUGACGGCUAGGCUGGGCCCCUGUCCUUGGGCCGAGUUGCCGAGCUCCCUCGGGGACUUGAAGGUGAAGGGCGAGGCGCCGGCCGGGGCCGCGGGCCGAGCCAAGGGCGAGUCUCGCAUCCGGCGCCUUCCAGGUGGGGCGAAGGUCGAGCGCCAGAGGCUGGCGAGGGACCCCCGCCCAGCUUGACGCCCAGCUGCGCCCGACGCCGGGGGAGGCGGAGCGCGGGGAACCCGGGCGCCGGGAACCCCGGACGUGGGAGGGCUGGGCUUCUGCGCGGGGAGACGCCGGGCUUGGCGAACAUCCUCAAGAACCGGUCGGUGGCUCUACCUCCGAAAACUCUUUCGUGUUUAGCGAUUCUCAUAUUUAGUGUUUCCCUUUAG